GGGCUGAAAGCAGCUGCUGUUUUCUCUACAGAGAGCAAAAGGGACAGAAAACUCCCAGGUUCACCCGUCAGCCUCUGGACUUCCCGUCCUGAGACAGAUAUGUCCCCCAACUCUCCCAAGGUAGAAAGAUAUGUGCAUCCCAAGGUGCACUCCAGGGAAGUGUGAUGCAGAUUUGAACCAAUUACACAUUAAGAGUGGAGCAUGAUAACAAUUUGGAGAGGCACAGCUCCCUGCUCUCUGAAAUGAACCUGAAAUGAAGAAAAGGCAUUUUCACUUCUCCUGGGAAAAAGAUGUGGCACUGCAUUGCACAAACAGAACAACUGAGGCAGUGAGAAAAGACAAUCAACUAAUCAGAAUUUAACCAGUGCUUCCCACCUCAGAGCUCUAACAUUAGCCUUCCCAGCUUCUCGGCUAAUGACAGUAAUAAUUGGCUUGGGCUCUCUUUAACAAAGGUCACAUUGUGUUUGUUACUGAGGACAGGAGAAGAGAGCAAAAAAAGUAAUGAGAAAGAGAAGAAGUUAGAAUGAGAGGAGAAAUAAAACCAAAGGUGCAGACUUCUGCUUUCAAGAUGGCAGCCUGAGCAAUCUCUCCCUCCUGCACCAAAUCCAACAAAUGAAAGGCAUAAAAAUAAAUACAGAGAUAUACUAGAACUCGAGAAGGAGAAAUCUCGAUGGACCUAGAAUUGCAAGGAAUCUGAGGAACUGAAACUGCAAGAUUGGAUUAAAGAAGGAAACCUCUGCCCAGAAUGCCCAAGGGAGCCAAGAGGAGAGGCCCUCCAAGGAUGAUGGGAGCAGAGUGAGGGUGUUUCACACCCAAGGAGGAUGAGGCUGUGGAAGGGGCCCCAAGAACAGCUCCUAGUGUGAUUAGUUGGAGCACUGAAGCAGGAGC